CNAAAUUGCCGUUGAUACUGGCGGGCUUGAGUGUAGAUGAGGUAGGCGGAAUGCGUGGUGUAGCGGUGGAAUGCAUAGAUAUCACGCAGAACUCCAAUUGCGAAGGCAGCUUANUAAGGUACAACUGACGCUGAAGCACGAAAGCGUGGGUAUCAAACAGGAUUAGAUACCCUGGUAGUCCACGCAGUAAACGAUGAUAACUGGGCGUAUGCGAUAUACAGUAUGCUCNUAAGCGAAAGCGUUAAGUUAUCCACCUGGGGAGUACGCCGGCAACGGUGAAACUCAAAGGAAUUGACGGGGGCCCGCACAAGCGGAGGAACAUGUGGUUUAAUUCGAUGAUACGCGAGGAACCUUACCCGGGAUUGAAAUGUAGACGACGAGCGGUGAAAGUCGCUUUCCCUUCGGGGCGUCUAUGUAGGUGCUGCAUGGUUGUCGUCAGCUCGUGCCGUGAGGUGUCGGCUUAAGUGCCAUAACGAGCGCAACCCCUGUCUACGGUUGCCAUCAGGUGAUGCUGGGAACUCCGUAGAGACUGCCGUCGUAAGGCGUGAGGAAGGUGGGGAUGACGUCAAAUCAGCACGGCCCUUACAUCCGGGGCGACACACGUGUUACAAUGGUGGGGACAAAGGGCAGCUACCUGGCGACAGGAUGCGAAUCUCCAAACCCCAUCACAGUUCGGAUCGGAGUCUGCAACUCGACUCCGUGAAGCUGGAUUCGCUAGUAAUCGCGCAUCAGCCAUGGCGCGGUGAAUACGUUCCCGGGCCUUGUACACACCGCCCGUCAAGCCAUGGGAGUCUGGAGUACCUAAAGUCCGUACCCGCGAGGGACGG
rnacentral:rRNA from 1 species